ACAGCAAAAACUGGAGUGUUGAAAUUUCAGGGUUAAACAUGUCAGAGUUGAUUUCAACUCUCAAAGUGUCAUUUUAACACAUUCUGAUUAAAAUGGUGUUCAGUGUUGGAGUUAUUUAACAGAGUUAUUCCAACCUAAGCAAAUCAACUCUGUAGAGAUGUAAAGUGCAUCUCGGCCGAGUUAACUUGCUUGAUAGGCCCCUGGACUUCAGUCCAGGUAACCCCAUGUGUUAUGCCCCUGGGCUUUCAGCAGGGUGAACCCGUGCAUCAAUCAAUAGUCUCCUGUGCGUGGCGUGGUCAACCGUCGUUUAUUUCGCUGCUGGAAUCAGGAAUGGGUGCGGAGUUGGACUUUUACACGAGAGAAAAAUGUUGAUCCAGGUUCGGUAUUGCCAACAGCAGAAGUAUGUGAAGUUGGAUGAGGUUGAUGGAUGUUUUGAUUUUGUGCAGUUCCAUGACAAAGUCAUCGAGAGAUUUUGCCUGCCACCUGACGCAAAAUUAGUGUACAAAGAUGCAACAGGGACAGAAGUUGAUGAGGACAUUUUCAGUGACCUUGUCAGCCAAGGCAAUGUGACUCUAUCAGUUUUCUCAAAUGACGAAUUUUCCGAUUGCUCCUUGUCCUCUCCAUCCGAUUAUUCUGAUUCAAGCUUCAGUUCAUGUGCAAGUACAUCAACUAUACUCCUAGAUGAGGUUCCUAGGAAGAAACUAAGACUUGAGGGCCCACUUACUGCAGCAUCUGCUAGAAAGUUGAUUGAAGAUGUACUUGGUACCAGCUCAGGUGGUGAAGAGGUCCUCCAAGAGUAUCACACAACAAAAACUCUAACAGAUGCUACCAGAAGAAAGUUGGUCAAUAUAAUAGUGGCACACAUGAUUGAUAAACACGGGCAACUCCCCAGCAAAGCUGUUCGAGAAGAGUACGCUCUUGGGAUAGUGACAGUGUUCCCGUCCCUCAAAGACCCAUACUCCAAGAAAGGCUAUGAACAUUUCUAUGAUGCUGCAAGCAGCACCGGAUACAUUUCUUGGCGUCUGAAAACGAUUCAGAGAAAGAUUCGAAGAGGACAUGCAUCUACAAGUAGCCCCACUGGCUUUUCCCCAGGAGGAGGUCAGUCUAUCUAUCUAUCUAUCUAUCUA